ensembl:miRNA tgu-mir-2997 tgu-mir-2997
CAAACAUGUCCAAGUUCCUCACAGUGCUGGCAGUAGUCUGCAGGAGCUUGGACAUGUUAGGUGCAUUC